rfam:Picea glauca, whole genome shotgun sequence.
UGAUGCGAUCAUACUAGCGUUAAUGUACCAGAUCCCAUCAGAACUCUGUAGUUAAGUGCGCUUGGGCUAGAGUAGUACUAGGAUGGGUGACCUCCCGGGAAGUACUAGUGUUGCAACCU